CCCCAACACCUGCCUCCUGUCUAGUGUCUGAUACGCAACAUGCUAUGAAGAGCCUGGUUCCCCUCUAUGCGGAGUGCACUCCCAGCCUGGGAGGCCACUCCGUCUUGCUGUCCUUUCUGGUCUUCACCUUCGGUUCUACCAACUCCAGUUCUGCUGAUUGACUGCUUCCCCGCAGCCCAGCCUGGGAAGGCUGCUCUCGACCAUCUCCACAGGAAGACAGGAUCUGUGCCUUUCUCUCAGGCAUGCGCAUCACAGUCUUGGCGGUCAUCUAGAGCGGCUUUAUGCCUUCGCGGUGCUCCCACGUGCUCUGUAAGAGCAGAGCAGAUGGUCACCUCCUGGGCUGUGGGCAGGAAGGAAGAACUGACUGGUCUUCGUCUUCCUUGCUUAAGAGACAGCCACUGCC
rnacentral:lncRNA from 1 species